rnacentral:rRNA from 1 species
AUGAGUGGCGAACGGGUGAGUAACACGUGAGUAACCUGCCCUCUUCUUUGGGAUAACGCCCGGAAACGGGUGCUAAUACUGGAUAUUCACUGGCCUUCGCAUGGGGGUUGGGUGGAAAGGUUUGUUCUGGUGGGGGAUGGGCUCGCGGCCUAUCAGCUUGUUGGUGGGGUGAUGGCCUACCAAGGCUUUGACGGGUAGCCGGCCUGAGAGGGUGACCGGUCACAUUGGGACUGAGAUACGGCCCAG